GACCAGGUAGCUCAGUUGGUAGAGCGUCCGACUAGAGUUCGGAUGGUUCUGGGUUUGAAUCCCGGUCUGGCCG